UACGUAGGGAGCAAGCGUUGUCCGGAAUCAUUGGGCGUAAAGCGCGCGUAGGUGGCCCUGUAAGUCCGUUGUGAAAGUCAAAGGCUCAACCUUUGAAAGCCGAUGGAUACUGCAGGGCUAGAGUACGGAAGAGGCGAGUGGAAUUCCUGGUGUAGCGGUGGAAUGCGCAGAUAUCAGGAGGAACACCAAUAGCGAAGGCAGCUCGCUGGGCCACUACUGACGCUGAGAAGCGAAAGCAUGGGGAGCGAACAGG
rnacentral:rRNA from 1 species